rnacentral:antisense_RNA from 1 species
UUGAGGGGAGACGGAACCCUGAGCAGCCCAUGUACAUGGAAGAUCUUUAUUGCAGAGAUCUUUAAACCAGGAUCUUCUAAGGGUGUGAGGAUACAGGCGUCAAAGACCCCGUGCUGAGACAGCUCCAUAACAACAUGCAGAUAUUUGGCAAUGAGGAUUCAGAAGAGGACUUGCUGUGGAGAAGGGAGAAAAGAGGUGGGAAGACUCUGUGAAUGAAUAGAGAACACUCUGCAAGCAUCCCAGUUCCUUUGGUUGCCCUGCAGUCUGCAGGUACCAGGAAAAAUCAAAAGCCGCCUGGAAGGGCUUUCUGUCUGUAUGGAGUCAAGGCAGUGUCUUCAAAUCUAUGCUUUCUAAAACAAAGAAAUAACCUUGAUGAAACAAAUUUUCCCCAGAGGAAGGGGAGAGCCCACAGUGAGCUGGUAAAGAAGAUGCCUGGAGCAGGCGGCAUCCUCAAAUGGAAGGUAAUUGCCCUCAAAUCACUUAACUAGGAUGACCUACUUUGCUUUCCUGUAUAGCCAGGUCUGUUAUCAGACCCUUAUCUUGGGAGGCAUCGUGUCAGAGCCUGGGGCAAGAAAGGGCUGGUAUCCAGGAAUGCAGGUGAAAUUAUAGCUAUUAGCCCUGUCUUAGAGUGUGAGGAAAAUGUGCCCCCCUACCCCUGGCUAAGUUUGGGUUCCCAUGUCAUAAACUGCCUCCCUCUCUGAUAGCUCUGCAUAAACAUCCCAGGAACUCAAAGUAACAUUUGAUUUCCCAAAGAGAACAUUUGCAUUUGUAACUGUCAGAAAUAGGAGAGAUCAUCAAAGCUAAAUGAAUUGGGCUAUAAACAGUUUGAAAUAUGUCCUUAAAUUUUAAAAAAACAUAUUUUUUGUUUGUUUUGGGGAGAGAGGAUCAUUUAGACUCAACAACAAAACAGAAAACUGUGAGUGCCAUUUUGAGACAAGACCUACCUGGUCCUUCCCCCUCAUACUUUCUGCUACCCUG